CGUGAAAAUUUAAAUGUACAGGUAAAUCCAAAACCUUAUCAAUAUUUUACUGAUUUGAACAGGUAUUUUAUCUGUAAAGUAUAAACAGUAGGAAAUAUAUUAGCAGAAACUAUGACUUACAAGGUAUGUUUAGUUGUGAUAUAUAUCUACAGCUUAUUUCCUAAUGCUUGUAGAGAGAAACUUUGGUAGGCUUUCUUGUCCAUGCUCUUUUGUAAAAAUGGUAAUUCAAGCUCUGUUGUUAAGAUUGAUUGUUGUUAAAGGAUUCAAUAAGUUAGAAACAUGCUGCCAUAUUAUGGCAUAAUUGUAAAGCUGAAGUUAUUUUAAACUGUUGUCAAAGAAACUGCUAAAAAAAAGUAGAAACAUGCUACCAUAUGGCAUAAUUGUUAAACUGUAUCUAUUUUAAAGUGUUGUCAAAGAAACUGCUAAAAAAAGUAGAAACAUGCUACCAUAUGUCAUAAUUGUUAAACUGUAUCUAUUUUGAAAUACCUAGUCAAGUUUAAGUAAAGGUGGAGGUUAUAAGUAAAUUAUGCCUAUUGUACCAAAACUUUAUUUCUCCAUGGCAACACAAUCCUAAAUAUUUAAAAAAAAAAAACCAACUAAAACAUGCAAGGAUAACACAGUAAAGCCAGCAACCAGUUUCUGAGUUUAUGUGCAAUGGGGUUCUUCAUAUAUAAGCAGCGACUUAAAUGGCUAUUCUAGAAUGUAAAAUUCCAAACAUUCGCGGCAUCGUGGUAAUUUCAAUUCUUGAUAGCAUAAAACAAAUGUCUUUGUUUUCGUACAUUUUUUUUUAUGAGUGUUGCAUAGUUAUAAUAGUUUGACCUUGCAUUGUGGUUGCAGUAAUCGUUAUGUUAUUCCAAUAAAUUGUUUUGCAAAUAUUAGUAAUUAGUAAGUAGUUACAAGGAUUCAUUACUUAUAUACGUCCUUUAAAGAAACAAUCAGUGGUCAAACCAAGGUAACCAAGGUAACAUAGAUACAAAAACAUGCAAAAAAACAAGGUCGAUCAUGAGGUUUGUCUGCCUUUUUAUUUAGUCUCAUUAUUUUUAAGGGAGAGCAAAUAGGUAUUACAAUAAAACGUAUGCCUUACUUUGGUAAUUUCUAUGGUGUGGACUAUUCGUCCAAUAUAAAUAAAUAAGAACAUAAAAAAUAUAGGCGAUACAAUUAAAUCCAGGCAGACUAGCUCACAAGAGGUGUUAUGUAAAAUUUAAAUGUACAAGUAAAUCCCAAAUCUUAUCAAUAUUUUACUGAUAUGAACAGGUAUUUUUAUUUGUACUGUACAAACAAUAGGACACAUCUAACAAGACAGAUUAUAUAGAGAAAGGACGCACAAGGUAUGUUGAGUUGGGAUUUCGCACAAAAUUACUUCUAAAUAUUUGAAGUUGAAAAAUAAAUAUUGCAAAUUGGACAUGGCUGCUAUAUUAUGAUACAGCUUUUCUGAUUUUAUUAAGAGAAGUAAAAGUAAAAAUGAAAAUACAUUAAGAUUAAUAACAUCAAUGCUUUACAAAGGUGAUUACAAGUUCAUAACUCAAUUUAAGGUAUACCAUAAAACCUCUUUUUGACUAUGGAACAUUAAUACACAAACACAAAAUGCUGAAUACUUUCAAACUUGUGAAAACCGCACAACUUAUUUUGGUAUGCAUAGGUCUCUAUAUGUAUAUUCUCACGAGCCCGGAAAUUUCAAAGGUAGAGAGAUGAUUAUACAUAUUUCAUAUUUGCAUUUGCAUGGCCUCUAGGCAUGCACGUCUAUACAUGUACAAUUGUGGUUUAGAAAUAACUUUUAAUUAGUAUGAUUACCGACGUGUUACAACUAUUGAUUUGUUAGCUUCAUGAUACAAAGAAGUGUUACUUUCCAAUUAUUCCGACUCUAACAGUCCACCCGCUAUUGGCUAACGACUAGCUGUUCAGUAAUUAUUAAAAUAUUACUUUUAUGCAGAGAUGUUAUUUUUCUUCAAGUUACUGGCAUGUAGUAUAUUUUUUAACCACCUUGGACAUCGUCCAUAGCGGGAAAAUGUUUAAUCCGAGAUAAACAAAAGCUAUAGAACUAUAAUAGAACAAGAGUGCACACGCUGAAAUGUCUCGCCUUCUUCAUUAAUCAUUGAUAUAAUGCGGAUAGUCCUAAGUAUAAAGCUUUAUUACAACUGUCACAUAAACUUAACCAAGAAAACUAAACAUUGACCAAUGAACCAUGCAAAUAAGAUCAAGGUCAGAUGAACCAUGCCAGGCAGACAUGUACAGCUAACAAUUAUUCCAUACAACAAAUAUAGUUGACCUAUUGCAUAUAGUUUAAGAAAAACAGACCAAAACACAAAAAUAACACUUAGCAAUGAACCGUGAAAAUGAGGUCAAGGUCAAAUACAAACUGUGUGACUGACAAAUAGAUCAUAAAAUAUUUCCAUACACAAAAUAUAGUUGACCUAUUGCAAUUAGUAUUAGAAAAAAAGACCAAAACUCAAAAACUUAUUUUUGACCACCGAACCAUGAAAAUGAGGUCAAGGUCAGAUGACACCUGCAAGCUAGACAUGUACACCUUUCAAUCAUUCCAUACACCAAAUAUAGUAGACCUAUUGCAUACAGUAUAAGAAAAACGGAUCAAAACACAAAAAACUUAACUAUAACCACUGAACCAUGAAAAUGAGGUCAAGGUCAGAUGACACCUACCAGUUGGACAUGUACACCUUACAGUCCGUCCAUACACCGAAUAUACUAGACCUAUUGCUUAAAGUAUCUGAGAUAUGGACUUGACCACCAAAACUUAACCUUGUUCACUGAUCCAUGAAAUGAGGUCGAGGUCAAGUGAAAACUGUCUGACGGGCAUGAGGACCUUGCAAGGUACACACAUAUCAAAUAUAGUUAUCCUAUUACUUAUAAGAGAGAAUAUAACAUUACAAAAAAAACUUAACUUUUUUUCAAGUAGUCACUGAACUAUGAAAAUGAGGUCAAGGACAUGAAGGAAACUUCGUAACAUGAGGCAUUUAUAUACAAAGUAUGAAGCAUCCAGGUCUUCCACCUUCUGAAAUAUAAAGCUUUUAAGAAGUUAGUUAACGCCGCCGCCGCCGCCGCCGGAUCACUAUACAUAUGUCGAGCUUUUUGCAACAACAGUUGCAGGCUCGACAAAAACCAUAAAUGAUUUUUUUAUAGUUAUAACCAUGCUCCUUUGGUAAAGCUCCCCAUGUAUUCACCCAUCGUUUGUUUUGCCAGCGUUAGGUUUGCUCUAGUUUAGAAAGUAAUUUCUUAAUUUCAUCUAGUUUAAUAAACGGAAUAUUAAAUUCAACACCAGCCGAGGACGUAUAACUAACAGUUAUACGUCCUUGCACCAGCUGGUAUUUUAUCUUGAAAGUAUUCAUUUAAUUCAUUUGCUUGAAAUUGCGUGUUUUUUGCAACAUAGUUAUCACCUAGUUUUGUAAAGUGUGUCUUGAAACGAGCUACCAUAUUCUGUAUUGUCAAAAUUCAUGGUAGUUGGAAUUUCAUUGUGUUCUUUGGCUUUGAAAUAUUUAAGUAAAGCCCAAAUUUCUUUCGUUUUUUUUUUUUAAUUUUCUUUUGCUUGCUUGAAAAAGAGGACUGUUUAGAUUUUUCUAUUAAUUUGGUACCUUUGUUGCGCCUAUAACGGAAGUUUUUCCAAUCCUUCUUGCUUUGAUAGUAGUUUCUUCUCUUUUGUGCAUAUUUCACCUCAUCAGUAAGCCAAUCUGGUUGGCGUACAUGUGUUUUAUUCUUAUAACUUUGACUAGAGCGAAUCUGAUAAUUACUGACAGAAAUAAUUUAUACCACAUGUCACUUAUUUUUUUCUAUUUGAGCAAAAUUUGUCUUAUUUAAAUCCUCCAAAAAAUUGUUGUCAUUAAAAAUUUUGCAACUUUUUAUGUUGUAAGCUUGGGAUAUCUUUUGGUUUUUAUUACUCGCAAUGCAUACUGGAUAUAGUGAUCACUAUAAUGGCUAUUAUGGAGACAUUUGUUUCAACUAUAUUUUCAGGGUAGUAAGUAUAAACAGGAUCAAUGAUAGUACUUGUGAUACGGGUAGGAUUAUUUAUUAAUUGUACAAAAGCAUGUGCAUGUGAAAGAUUUCCCUAUUUAUUGUUCAAGCAACCCCCUGUAAAAUCAAUAUUGAUAUCGCCCAUUAUGAUUUCUAGUUCUAAUUAAUUUACAUGUUUACAUGUUUACAUGAGAAAUUUUUAAUUCAAUUUUCUUGAAGCCAAAAUAUGUUUCUUCUAAACCUUUUGAAGGAUAUUUUUUUUCCAUAUUUUGAAUUUUUGUUGCUUCUAUUGAUUCUUUUCUUGUAUUAUUUAAAGAUCUUUUGUUCUUUAAAGUAGUGUUUUGAAAGUGUAGGGUUUUUUCUUCAUUUAUGAAAGUAUAGUAUUGAUCGUUUUCGAUUUCUUUACAUUUACAUUCAAUAUGAUCACACAAGGUACAUGUGUUAUAUAUUAAACAUUAAAAUAUGUUCAUUGUUUGGAAAAGAAAAGUUUCGGUAUAACAUGCAUUGCCAGUGUCCUAAUUUGAUGAAUAUACCAGCAUUUUUUCAUUUUUAGAAAACAAAGACACAUUUUGAAAAUAAUUUAUAUCAUUGUAAAAUAAUCUUAAGAAUAUUGAUUAGGAGAAGGCAUUUUUCCAAAUUUCCCCAUCAACAUACAGUAUAAAAUUCAUUAUCAUAUUUAAUUCGCUUUCUAGAAUUAAAACAGUACUUUUAUAUAUAAGAGGAUAUAUUUACUUUAAAAUCAUGCCAAAAGAUUCAUCAGUUAUAAUUUUGUAAAUACUGCAGUUAUAACAUCACAAUACUCACACGAUAUACACAAUGAUAAGUCAAGUUUAAAAUCAGUCAGCAUGAUCAGAGUCGAUAGAAAAGUUACGAAUACAUUUUGCUGAAAUAUUAAAGACAUUUCCUAGCACAUAAAAAAACACAUUGAAAUAUAUCUAAGACAAAACUGUAAAGGUAUAUUAUUGUAUUAUAUAUAGUACUAGUAUUUAUCCAGUUGAUUUGAUGACUUUUUAACUGCUCAAAUUGAGUCGGUUUUAAUGAGUGGUAACUAAAAGUAGAAAAAAAAUAGUCCAUUAGCCUCAAAAGACACAUAAAAGAGAAGUAGUUUUUAAUUACUUUUUACCAAUAUAAUAGAAGUUAUCAACUAAGCGUCAGAUCCCAAACCUCACAUUAUGAAUUUUAAUCGCCUUUUCUUCGUGCUAAUGUUUUGCUGUCGCGUCACUGUCCCGGGUAGUGAGGAGGUUGUGCGUUCACAUGUAUGUUUGCCCCAACCAUAAUUUUUGUGUCCAUGUCCCACAGAUGUGCCUUUAAGUAAGUGGUAUUCUCUGGUUGCUGUCUACCAUAUUUUUUAUACAUUUAUUGUUGAAAAAUCAACAAGGUCGUUGGUUUACUCGUUUGAAUUAUUUCAUGACAUUUAGUCGUCUGGGACUUUGAUGGUUUACUACACGGUUUGCAUUUUGUGUUUUGCGCGUUGUUGAGGCCGCAUGGUGACUGUACUUUCUUUAAUUUGUUUUUGUCCUUUUGUGUCUGGUGGAAAGCGGUGUUCAUUAUCACUGAACUAGUAUAUAUUUGUUUAGGGGCCAGCUGAAGGACGCCUCUGAGUGCGGGAAUUUCUCGCUGCAUUGAAGAUCUGUGACCUUCUGCUGGUGUCUGUUCUAUGGUCGGGUUGUUGUCUCUUUGACACAUUCCCCAUUUCCAUUCUCAAUUUUAUAAUUGGCAAUCAUACCACAUCACUUUAUUUUAUCAUUUAAUGUCAUAUAACGUGAAGCCUUUCCAUCACAGCAAACUGAAGUUGCCAUUGACUGAUUAUAGAGUUUUUCAAGCUCAUCGGCUCCGAAGUAUGGUGGCUAAGAGCAUUGACUGCGAAAUAUGGUGGCCAAGAGCAUAGGCUGCGAAAUAUUUUGACCAAGAGCAUAGGCUGCGAUGUAUGGUGGCAGACACGUAUAUUGGUUGCACUAGAGUGCAUUGUUCAACGAAAAAACAUUGUCUCAUUCAGUGUAACAUGCAUCUAUCGUUGCAUAGAGCUGAUAUUACGUGGAGAGAAAAAACGAUUUAACACAGAAUUGAAUUGCACGAAAAUCCAUUUAAUGAUUUGGCUUGCCUCUUUUGAGAUAAUAUUUCCAAUAAAUCUAUUUACAACACUCCGUUUCGCAGAAAAAUAUGAUGUUAUCAGCCCUGCACUUAAACAGUCUACCAGGAUCGAACAUAUAUACACAUGGAAAAAAGUAUUGCAACACCAAAUUGAAAUUGAAAUUAAAAAAACACUCUUUAUUUUUUUGUGAUAUAAUUUGGUAAAAUAGAACUAGUUAAACAUUAUUUAAGUAUCACAUGAGUUUAAUCAAUAGAUAUCGACUCGAUAAGUUUUUAUCUGCACAUGCAGCUACUGUACCCGUAAACAGCAAAACAGAUGUUUUCAUCCUCAUUGUUUUCAACACUUUAAAUAACCAAGUUUUUAAAGUUAUGUGAUUGACACCUUGUUAUGGGUCCUUGACAACUCUUAACUGCAGCAAGAUGGCAGAUUAUCAGCAUAAGAGAAGCAGGGAUGUCGCUGUAACAACUUACGUAUUGUUGGUCAUCACCAUUCCACUAUAAGUCGUUUUGAGAAUAAAAAUCAGGCAAUAGACGCUGUUAAAGACCUUCCAAGAUAAUGAAGACCCCUUAUACCAUUUGCUAGGGAAAAUCAAGCAUAAUGAAGGUUGGUCAGAAGGAAACCCAUUGCAUACAAGACAAUUCCUAAAAGAGAGUGGUGGCCAUACAGGAGCCUUUUAACAAGAACUGUUCGAGAUCGACUCAUCGCUACUGGUUAUCGUGCGACAAGACCAUUUCGGAGACCUUUGCUAACGAACAGACACACAGUUUUCCGUAUCACACGUAGUGCAGAGCUCGCCAAAGUUGGAAAUUAGCCUCGUGGAGGAAGAUCCAAUGUUCAAAUGGAAUUCGGUUCAUCUUCCUUGGCCCGAUCGUAGCCCGGAUUUGAACCAUAUCGAGCAUAUUUGGGACACUAUUGGGCGGAAAGUGCACGAAAGGACACCGCAGUUCAAACACAUCAUGAAAUAAACAAUGCCCUUCAUCAGAAAUGGUUGCUGCUACCUUAGCAACAAAUUAGUCGAUUUUUGGCAGGAAUCAGAAGACGUUUAGAUGCGGUUAUCCGUUUGAAUGGAGGCUGCGCACAAAGUACUAAUUCUUUGGCGUAUAACGAACAACCAUGAUGUGAACAGUCAUCUGAACAUUAAUUUUGAAAUGUCUGACAUUGUAAAGUUCGACUACAGUAAAAGUUGUAAAAUGCAUUUUUUUGUACCACUUCAUUUUGUUAUUAAAAUUGUGGUUAUAUAAAUCAUUUUUUUUUUUCAAACAUUUUUUGUUCGUUUCAAUGCCAAUGUUAUCAUAAACUAUGUUUUAAUAAUAUUAUACAUAUAUUUCAUCCAAAAAAAGGGGCUGAUUUUUCAAGUUUUAAAAAAUCAAGGUGUUGCAAUGCUUUUUUCCAUGUGUAUAUUUACGGAAAAUUGAAAAUAAUCAUUUACAUGUUCUGUGAAUGUUCAAAAUACGGUUAUAUAGAGCCAACAGAUGUACAUUUUAACCCUUGGGUUGAACAUUUCAACAUGGUUCAUCUAACAAAUUCAAUGAUUUUUUGUUUCUUUGUCUGCAGUACACAAAGCCUCAUUGUAUUGGUAAAUAAUGAUUACUUUCAUCUCAUUCUUAUUUUAUAUUGUUUUCCAUUGUCGGGAUGAUAUCAUUCUCAACAUCCUCUUCAAAUCGAUAUUUACUGUUUAUAACAAACAUCCGUAGUGCAUUGUUUAUAGCGCAUCGGACUGCUAACACAAAGGUUCCUGGUUCGAUCCCCGCUCCGGGAGAAAAUUUCAGGGACUGAAUUUUCGGCUCUCCUUUGACAACAGUAUGGUAUUGAGAAACGAUGAUAGUCCGUCGGGAGAGGACGAUUAAUGGCUGACCCAUGUUAAGAGAGCUCGCUUCACUUGCACGUUAAAGACACCCUUGUAAAUUUCGAAAAAAAAGAGUAGGCUAAUGCCGAUACAAGGCAUCACUCACACCCGCAAAGUGGAAAGGGAUUAAUAUAAGUUGUAAUAACUUGUUUCCCAUUCCACUAUAAAUAAGUAUGUUAAAAACAUCCUUAACCAUGAUAAAUAAAAAAAAAAUGAUUUCUCCGAUUUCACACACGGAAAAAUUACUAUAUAUUUGAGAACAGAUAUAAUAAAAUAUUAAUGAAGGAGGUCUAAACUGAUGCUUACAUUCAGCGAAGAAUGUUGCCCUACUGUUAUAUCCAUAUUUUGUUUGCUGGUAAGAGUGAUAUACAGAGGCGGAUGUAGGGGGCAGGGGACCUGGGCCCGCCCUUUUGAGAAAAGAAAAAUUGGUUAAUUUUAUAGGGAAUCACUGUAGCAUAACGGGAGCGGGUCCCAUCUUAGGCAGCCACUGGGUCCCCACUUAUGAAAAUUUCUAGAUCCGCCACUGAUAUAAAUUUAAAUAGAAUGCAAACACAGCGGUUACAAGAGAUUAAGAAUAACUAUAUGAUUCAGAAUCCGAGUUCCAGUAACACUAGGUAAGCUGUAUAUAUGGUGAUCUCAAAAUAAUGUGUUAGCUAAUCAAUUGAUCCAUACUCAAUCUUUGUGUGAUACCUAGGAUAAACCUAUAUAUCAAAUCUCGUUUACUGAUGGGCGGAUAGGACUUUUGUUCUCUAACAGAAAUGUUCAGAAUUUCAAAAAUUACACAACCAUAUUUUUUGGCUCUUGUUAUCAAAUUAUUUGUAUUGUUUACAUUAAAAAUUUGUAAGGGUUCCGCGGAACCCAGAGUCUCGUCUACUUUUGCUGUUAAUCGCAGGCUCGACAAAAAUGAAGAAAAUUUUAUAAUAGUAUUCCUCUUCAUACUAUCUUUUGAUUGAAAGCAGCUUCCGUCCAAGUUUGGUAAAAAUAUAAGAUGGUUUAUGAAUCUUACACAUUUAAAAAAAAAAAUCAUUUUUAACUGCAGACUGUAUGUAAUGUUAACUGGAAGAAAACACUAAGUCCAUUUAUAAGUAAAAUACGUAAAAAGUGGGUUUUUUUCUACAAAAUUUACUUCUGGAUACUAUCUUAUGAUCACAAAAAAGCUUCUGUCCAAGUUUGGUAGAAAGCCAGGAUAGUUUAAGAAAGUUAUCUAAAAUUUCAAAACUUUUAACCACAGAGUGAAUAUUUGUGGACGCAGCCGCCGCCGACGACCACGACCACGACGCCGACGAAUUGUAGGAUCGCAUAUAUGUCUCGCUUUUUCGACAAAAGUCGAGGGCUCGACAAAAAUCACAUUUAUGUUCAUUGUUAGAUAUGCUGUCUUAACUGACGAAUAUUUGAAGGGUACUGGAAAAUACUAUUAAUCGUUUAAUUAUUUGUCGUGUAUUUUUAUUCGCAGUUUGCGUGACAUACAUGUAGGUAUAACAAUCCGGUGGCCUCGACGGCGACAACGUAAACUUUUUGUUUAAAGAUGCAUAUUUCAGUAGGUUGAAGAUCUGGUUGUUUCAUACUUUGGAUGCAGAUACCUUGUAUUACGAAGUUUCUGUCUGUCAUAUGUCCAUUGUCCUUGACCUCAAUUUGAUAGUUCAGGGAUUUCUUACAAAAUUACAGUUUAUUAUUGUUGAGUGCAAUACUUGAAAUUUUUAUUGGCUCCUUGCAACGUCUUCAUGUUCGUCAGGUAGGGUUCACCUGACCUCGACCUUAUUCCAUGGAUCAGUGAUCAAGGAUAAAGUUACGUGUUCAAGUUUCUUAGAUACUGUAGGCAAUACUAUUUAUGUUGUAUGGAAUGAAUGUAAGGGUUGCAUGUCUGACUGACAGGUUUCCUCUGACCUUGACCUCAAUUUCAUGGUUCAAUGAACAACGUUUGGUUUUUUUUUGGGGGUUUGGUCUAUCGGAUCGAAUCGGAUAUUUUCCUUCGAUAUCAAACUGUUGCUAGGUAAAAUAAAAUUCUAACAUAUUUUUGAUUUAGUAUUUUAUUAUUUUCAUACAUAACUACACUAAAGAGGAGGGCAAUAGCACAGGCACUUGUCUCAGAAUCCCCCCUUUAUAUACCUUAAUAUAACAGGUAUAGAGGAAAUAUUUUUCUGAGACAAUGCCUGUGGGCAAUAGGCAACAAUAUGCCUACUCCGGAAAAUUGUUUUAAUCAAUUAUAAAUGCUCAUUUAUCUGUGUUUGUCGUUUGUCGUUUGUUUCAUUCAAAGGUAGCUUUGGUAGCCAGUGGCGGAUCCAGAAAUUUUUCUAAGUGGGGCCCACUGACUGACCUAAGAGGGGGUCCGCUCCAGUCAUGCUUCAGUGAUUCCCUAUAUAAGCAACCAAUUUUUUUUAUCCAAAAAGGGGGGCCCGGGCCCCCUGGGCCCCCCUAAAUCCGCCUCUGGUAGCCUUUUUCACGUGAGUGUACCACGCCCCUGUGUCUAUUAUCACGUGAAACAAAUAAAGUGUCUUAAGUAUGAAAUUAAGUAUAUAUGCUUGACGCUUAGCUACAUCAUGUUUGUAAUAUUUCAUAUUUAAUUCAUAUUUUUAUUUUCCGUUUCCUUUCUCAAAUGAGUACACAUUUCCGGAAAAAAUGGGAAGUAUUUUGUCAGUCAUCAACAAGAAAAUUGUAGAUUAACACAUUUUUCAUACUUUAAAAAAGUAUUGAUUUUUAUUUCAGGGAUAAAAUCAGGUGUUUACGUUUUCAUCUAGUGUCUAGGAACUAUGUGAUCAUUUCACACGAAGAUCGACUUGCUUGCAGAAAGAAAUAAUACGGUUUAGUCAAAUGUUGUUUAGUGUACAACGAGGGCAUAGCCUCUAAAUUGUUGGAUAUAUUGUGCAAACUAAAAUGUGAAGAAAAAAACCCAAGACAAGACAGCAGCUUUUAUCUAUUUAUACCAUAACAACUUUUGAAAACAGCACCAACAGCUGGAUAUAUGUAUGUAUACCAUUAGCAUAACAACUUUGAGAAACAACGCAGACAGCUGAGUAUAAUUUGAAACAGCAAUGUUGUCAUACCACGAUUCUAUGAACAGCUAUAUGCUUAUUUAUGCUUGUUUGAUAUGCAGUGUACUUGGAUUGACUUUAGUUUCAUAUUUUCUGGCACAUACAUUCAAGACAUGCAAACAAUGGCUGAGAUAAAACUAGACGGCUCAAACAAUGGUUUGAGUAGUAGAUAGUAUAACAGUGCAUAACGUAUCUCAGCAAAUAUUGGACAUGAGGAUUCGGGAGACAGUGGACGAAAUGAUGUCCGUGCAUUUGCAGCAAUAUUAACUUAAAUGUACUUUGACAUAUCCAAUGAGAAAAUUGCCUAUAAUUUCUAAACCAUUGAUACAUUUUGUGUGUACAGACACUGAUUUGAGGAAUAUUUUCAUGUUUUGGUUGCAUACAUAUAUAUUGUUUUCUCGUUUUGUGAUAUCUUACUAUAUUGUUCGGUAUUUCGAUAUAGUACAUAUCACAAAUGUUGAUAUUGUAUAACAAAGUAAAGUGCUUUCUACUUCAUCAUUGGGUGUUGCUAAACGGCGGAAACGGAAUACGGAACGGAAACGGAAACUGAAAGAAUUGACAUCUUUUCUUUUUGGUUAUCUCAUCUAAAUAGGCAUGUUUUAUAAAGUAUAACACAUGUUUACAAGAAAGAACAACAGAGGAAUAAAUCUGAAAUAAAAGAUUUUAGAGCAUAAAGUGCAGGACAUAUCAUGAUGAAAUACAAGAUCCUAGGCUAGAUCAUGCAUACGUCGUUUAUGUGAUUCAGGAAACGGUUCGACUUUUCUUAUUUAAAAAAAGUUGAAUAAAUGUCAAUAAGAUAGUAACCCAACAGCACAAAAAUAAAUUUACAUAUGGCCAAAAAGGUGGACAUUGGCCUCAAUUCUAUAGAUAGGUUGUGAAGUAAUACAUUUUGGGGAAAUGCUUUUCAUCAUUUUUUUCUUUUAAUUCAUUUUCAAUUGUCUUGAAUUUUAUGUGGUGUAUCUUGUUGGGUCUUGUUGCGUUGUUCUGCAUUAGUGAUUUUCGUUGUAACUUUUCGUGUAUAAUGGAAAGAAAACUAAAAAGAAACCUAAUGGGACAAUGAGCACAAGGACAACAACCGAUAAGGAAACCCGGGAACUAGAAUAAUAUAAUCUUUAUUUUUAUGUAGAAAAUAAUUAAAUUUACAAAAUCACUCACUAUACAAACCUUUCUCACCCGAUUACAAUACUGAAGUACGCUGUUUAGUAUUACCGCCGGAAAAGCAAAUAUGCAACUACUAGAAUUUAAAACAAUAAAUACGAAUUGAUGUGAAACAAUGCGAAAUUAGUAGCCUACAUGGAUAUACAAUUUGCACAGUUCCCUUACCAAUAUAGUCGUAGUCAUGACCUAUGCCUUUCAAACUCCAAAUGUCCAUACUAAGUCAGCUUUAAAUAUCAUACCGCUUAUUUCUUCUCUGAAAAAUCAGCCCCCCUCAAGUAGCCGUGAUUUUUUCAGUCUUCAUUUUUCCAAUGGAAAAUAGUGUCACUCAUUCAGUAUGAUGUUUUACUAUUAUUCAAAACAUUCAAAGAUAGUCGAAAGAUACCACAGGG
rnacentral:lncRNA from 1 species